AUUGAACGCUGGCGGCAGGCCUAACACAUGCAAGUCGAGCGAGCGGCGGACGGGUGAGUACUGUAUGGGGAUAUGCCCGAUAGAGGGGGAUAACUACUGGACACGGUAGCUAAUACCGCAUACUAUUGGAGCGGCCGAUAUCGGAUUAGCUAGUUGGUGGGGUAAAGGCUCACCAAGGCAACGAUCCGUAGCUGGUUUGAGAGGACGACCAGCCACACUGGGACUGAGACACGGCCCAGACUCCUACGGGAGGCAGCAGGGGGGAAGUUGGGACAAUGGGGGAAACCCUGAUCCAGCCAUCCAGCGUGGAUGAGAAGGCCUUCGGGUUGUAAAGUACUUUUGGCAGAGAAGCGGUAUCUGCAGAAUAAGCACCGGCUAACUACGUGCCAGCAGCCGCGGUAAUAC
rnacentral:rRNA from 1 species